UCCCUUUCCCUCUCUUUCCCUCCACUCCUCUCCUCUCUCCUCUCCUCCCCUCCCUUCCUCUCUCUUCCCCUUCCCUGCCUCCCUUCCUCUCCCUUUGCCUACCUGAAGGAUUGGCUGUUAGAGUCUUUCAGACCUUGACACUUGAGAAGCUUGGAGGCGGAUGUCCCCUCAUCGCCAGCUACAGGUUAGGCACUGUGGGCUGAAGAGCCACAGAAGCAACAGCGCCUGCCUCCUCCAGCUGCCUGGCCCCUUGCGUGUGCCAUCGCUCAUCGCUGGUGAGUGGUCUUGGAUCACGUGACUAGCGGAACCUCCCCGGCUUGCCCUCCCCACCGUAAAGUUACCCAUUUGUCCUUUGUCAUCAGUAAGCAUUUUGUGGGAAGCGCCUGGAAAUGUUGCAAAGCUCACGUUCUUCAGCAAACUUUGAUCAUUUCUAUCAUUUCCUCCUGCACAUCUGCUAUAGGCUGAAUGUUUAUGGCCCCCCGAUUCCCUUGGUGAAACCGCGUCCCCAGGGGAAUGGUAUUUGGAGAUGGGGCCUUUGGGAGAACAUGAGGUCACGGAGGCCGAGCCCUGGUGAGUAGGGGUUGGUGUUCUUCUAAAGGGACCCCAGAGAGCUCCUUUGUCCCUGCAGCCAUGGGAGGACAGAGCAAGAAGGAUCCAUCUAUGAACCAGGAAUCAGGUUCACACCGGACACCCGAUGUGCUGGCGCCGUGAUCGUGGACUUCCCAGCCUCCAGAACCACGACAAAUAAAUUCCUGAUGUUUGUAA